CAAUUGUAGUUUCUACUGGGGCCUGGAGGCGACUGUUUCCAGCAGGGGAUAUCUAAUGGACGCUGAGAUGGCCUCUGUUAGAAAGACCCCCUUCCAAGCCUUUUAGACUCCAUUGUAGUCUCUAAUGGGGCUUGGAGGGGAUUCUUUCUAACAGACCCUCUAAAGGACACUGAGAUAGCCUCCGCUAGAAAGACCCCCCUCCAUGG